rnacentral:RNase_P_RNA from 1 species
UUGAACAGUCGCGUAUAAAACUUGCAAAGGUUCAUAUGAGGAAAGUCCGGGCUCCAUAGAGCAAUGAUGCUGGAUAACGUCCAGUGAGGGAGACCUUAAGGAAAGUGCAACAGAAAAUAACCGCCGUACUAGAAGUUAGAAAUUAAAAGUUAGAAAACAAAAAUUUAACAUCUAAAUUCUAAUCUCUAACUUCUAGUAAGGUAAGGGUGAAAAGGUGAGGUAAGAGCUUACCGCUGGCAUGGUGACAUGCUAGGUCAAUGUAAACCCCAUCUGGAGCAACACCUAAAAAAGAAGGCUAAGGCUGCUCGCCAUCUUCUUGAAUUGGUGGCUAGAGGCAUAUAGUAAUAUAUGUUCGAGAUAAAUGACUGUUUUUAACAGAACCCGGCUUAUAGAUAUACU